GCGGCUGCAGCUCUAAGGCAGAGCGUCAGGAUGCCAGCCUGAAGGUCCCGGUUCGAUUCCGGGCUGCCGCA
rnacentral:tRNA from 1 species